CGGGCCGCAUUUCGUCCUUUCUUCCUGCGCCAGUCGUGUUGUUUGUGUGUUGUCGUCAUGUACUUCGUCCUCCUCACCUCCACAAUUCGCCGCUCUCGGGACGUUUUCUCCGGUUGCUGCGCCCAAGACUGCGGGAUGCAGAACCUGCCGCGGAGAAGCCGGCCUUCUCCGUCUCGGCGGUGGAGGCCAACAAGGCAGUCACGAUGGCGGCUCGCGUAGUGGUAGUCAGCGGCCUGCAUACCGCGCCCUUUGACGGGUGUUCUGGAUGGAGCCUCCAUGGAGACAGAUGGGAUUGAUGCUGUGCAGCACUAGGGCCUGGUUCUUCUCAAGGCUCUUAAUUGGGGAAGUCAGCCUGUAUGCCUCUGCUCAGUCACUAAGAACCAUGUAACCAGUGAAGAGGUCAUCAUUUAGGAUCUCAUCUAGUUUGUUGGAAAAAAACAAAGAGGACUUCCCUGGAAGCAAGCAAGAAGCCUACACUGACAGUAAAGGAUACAAAGAGAAACCGUGUCUUGAAAAAAAGAAGUGAAAUGCUUUGGGAUUUAACAUGUAAUCGGGUCAAUAAAGACUUUUGAAAGUAUUUUCUCUGUAAUUUAAAAUGAUUAAACAAAAUUCAGUGUCUAAAAGUGAAUGAAUGAUGUUGCCCACUGAACCCAGGACAGCAACUGAAAUCUUCAACCCCUCUUUAGUUGGGAGUCCAUGUCCUAGGGACUGAUUUCUGAGACUACAGAGGUUGAUUUACAUGGCUCUGCGCUCCCCAAAAAGUGUCCCUGUCAGUUGUGUUUAUUUGGUCGUGCUCAAGCUCACUAGAAGCCAGGUGAAAUAGCAAAAGGUAAAGGUUCCAAUAAGACGCUGCCUUGGCCUUAAUUUAAUGUCAAGGUGCCAUGCUAUACUGUAGGCAGAGUAGAUGCACGGUAGCACACAGGGAUCGCCCUGAGCCAGUACUUUCCUACUAACAAGUGUAAUAGACUUAAAAUAUCCAUACCUAUCUUUGCAAAAGUCUUUGACCAGUUAUUCAAUCUGUGGGAGCCAUUCUUAAUU